UCCUUCGGGAAUGGAUUAGGGGCGAACGGGUGAGGAACACGUGAGAAACUGCCUUUCAUUGGGGAUACUCGGAACGGGUAACGAUACUCGUCUCUGGGUCGGAGCGGAAAAAUUUGUGAAGAGUCUCGCGCUUCAGUAUGUGGUAUGUCACAGGACGACGGUAGCGGCUGAGAGGGACGCACUGGGACUGAGACCGCAGAUCUACGGAGCAGCAGGGGAUUGGGCAUGGGCGCAGCUGACCCAGCGACGCGCGUGAGGGAUGAAGCUUCGGGUUGUAACCUCUUUCAGCGGAAUAGCGAAGUGAAGUACCUGCAGAAGAAGCACCGGCUAACUAUGUGCCAGCAGCCGCGGUAAUACAUAGGGUGCAAGCGUUGUCCGGAAUUAUUGGGCGUAAAGAGCUCGUAGGUGGUCGAUACGUCGAUUGUGAAAAUCUGAGGCUUACCUCAGACCUGCAUUCGAUACGGGUUGACUGGAGUGUGGUAGGGGAGACUGGAAUUCCUGGUGUACGGUGGAAUGCGCAGAUAUCAGGAGGAACACCGAUGGCGAAGCAGGUCUCUGGCCAUUACUGACACUGAGGAGCGAGAGCGUGGGGAGCGAACAGGAUUAGAUACCCUGGUAGUCCACCCGUAAACGGUGGGCGCUAGUUGUGGGAACCUUCCACGGUUUCUGCGACGCAGCUAACGCAUUAAGCGCCCCGCCUGGGGAGUACGGUCGCAAGACUAAAACUCAAAGAAAUUGACGGGGCCCCGCACAAGCAGCGGAGCAUGCGGCUUAAUUCGACGCACGCGAAGAACCUUACCAAGGCUUGACAUAUACAGGAAUACGGCAGAGAUGUCGUAGCCGCAAGGUCUGUAUACAGGUGGUGCAUGGUUGUCGUCAGCUCGUGUCGUGAGAUGUUGGUUUAAGUCCCGUAACGAGCGCAACCCUUGUCCCUAGUUGCCAUCAUUCAGUUGGAACUCUAGGGAGACCCCGGUGAUAAACCGGAGGAAGGUGGGGACGACGUCAAGUCAUCAUGCCCUUUAUGACCAGGGCUACACACGUGCUACAAUGGUCGGUACAGAGGGUUGCCAAGCCGCGAGGCGGAGCCAUCCCACAAGCCGAUCGUAGUCCGGAUUGGAGUCUCACUCGACUCCAUGAAGUCG
rnacentral:rRNA from 1 species